GACGAACGCUGGCGGCGUGCUUAACACAUGCAAGUCGAACGGAAAGGCCCUGCUUGUGUGGGGUGCUCGAGUGGCGAACGGGUGAGUAACACGUGAGUAACCUGCCCUUGACUUUGGUAUAACUUCAGGAAACGGGGGCUAAUACCGGAUAGGAGCUCCUGCUGCAUGGGGGUGGUUGGAAAGUUUCGGGGGGUGGGGAUGGACGCGCGGGUUAUCGGCUUGUGGGUGGGGUAGUGGCUUACCAAGGCUUUGACGGGUAGCCGGCCUGGGGGGGUGACCGGCCAAAUUGGGACUGGAAUCCGGCCAAGCCCCCUACGGGAGGCAGAAGGGGGGAAAUUUGCCAAAGGGGGCGAGGCCGGAUGAGGGAACGCCGGGUGCGGGAUGACGGCCUUCGGGUUGUAAACCGCUUUCGCCUGUGCCGAAGCGUGAGUGACGGUAAUGGGUAAAGAAGCACCGGCUAACUACGUG
rnacentral:rRNA from 1 species